GACGAACGCUGGCGGCGUGCCUAAUACAUGCAAGUAGAACGCUGAAGAGAGGAGCUUGCUCUUCUUGGAUGAGUUGCGAACGGGUGAGUAACGCGUAGGUAACCUGCCUGGUAGCGGGGGAUAACUAUUGGAAACGAUAGCUAAUACCGCAUAAAAUUGGUUAUUGCAUGAUAAUUAAUUGAAAGAUGCAAUUGCAUCACUACCAGAUGGACCUGCGUUGUAUUAGCUAGUUGGUGAGGUAACGGCUCACCAAGGCGACGAUACAUAGCCGACCUGAGAGGGUGAUCGGCCACACUGGGACUGAGACACGGCCCAGACACCUACGGGAGGCAGCAGUAGGGAAUCUUCGGCAAUGGGGGGAACCCUGACCGAGCAACGCCGCGUGAGUGAAGAAGGCUUUCGGAUCGUAAAGCUCUGUUGUAAGAGAAGAACGGGUGUGAGAGUGGAAAGUUCACACUGUGACGGUAUCUUACCAGAAAGGGACGGCUAACUACGUGC
rnacentral:rRNA from 1 species